AUCCAGACUCCUACGGGAGGCAGCAGUGGGGAAUAUUGCACAAUGGGGGGAACCCUGAUGCAGCGACGCCGCGUGAGCGAUGAAGUAUUUCGGUAUGUAAAGCUCUAUCAGCAGGGAAGAAAAUGACGGUACCUGACUAAGAAGCCCCGGCUAACUACGUGCCAGCAGCCGCGGUAAUACGUAGGGGGCAAGCGUUAUCCGGAUUUACUGGGUGUAAAGGGAGCGUAGACGGCUGUGCAAGUCUGAAGUGAAAGCCCGUGGCUCAACCGCGGAACUGCUUUGGAAACUGUAUAGCUUGAGUACUGGAGAGGCAGGCGGAAUUCCUAGUGUAGCGGUGAAAUGCGUAGAUAUUAGGAGGAACACCAGUGGCGAAGGCGG
rnacentral:rRNA from 1 species